GAGUUAGAGAUAAUUUUAAAACUAAUUUCUCGUUUUGAUUUGCUCAAUUUGAACAUGAUAGACUCCUUAUUAUACCCAUAAAAUUUGAACUAU
rnacentral:snoRNA from 1 species